rnacentral:rRNA from 1 species
CCGAAACUAAGUGAGCUACUUUAAAAUAGCCCUAGAGCUAACCCAUCUCUGUUGCAAUAGAGUGGGAUGAUUUUUAAGUAGAGGUGACAGACCUACCGAACUUAGAGAUAGCUGGUUUUUUAAGAAAAGAAUUUUAGUUCAACCCUAAGCCUCCCAUUAAACAAAAAUAAAACUAGACUUAGGAGCCAUUCAAAUAAGGCACAGCUUAUUUGAAACAGGAUACAACCUAGAAAAAAGGGUAAAAAUCAAUUAAACUAUUGAAAAGUGGGCCUAAAAGCAGCCACCUUUUAAAAAGCGUCAAAGCUUCACACUAAUAAUUUAACUAAUUCCUUUAACAACCUCUAACCCUUACUAAAUAUUAAAAAAUCCCAUAACAUUAUGGAAGCUAUUAUGCUAGAACAAGUAAUAAGAAAAAGACUUUCUCCAAAAUGUAAGCUUAAGCCAUGAUAGACAAACUAUUGGCAAUUAACGUUUAUAAACUUCUUAUAGUAACACCAACAAGAAAACCCUAUAUCCCCCCUGACUCGUCAACCUUACACUAGCACAU